GACGAAGGGGGCUAGCGUUGUCCGGAAUCAUUGGGCGUAAAGAGCGUGUAGGCGGCUCGCUAAGUCUUGCGUGAAAUCUCGGGGCUCAACCCCGAGCGGUCGUGAGAAACUGGCGGGCUAGAGUGCGGGAGAGGUGAGUGGAACUGCGAGUGUAGAGGUGAAAUUCGUAGAUAUUCGCAAGAACACCAGUGGCGAAGGCGGCUCACUGGCCCGAUACUGACGCUGAGGCACGAAAGCGUGGGGAGCAAACAGG
rnacentral:rRNA from 1 species